GAAAGUCACAAUGACGCCUAACCGUCUAAGAUGAUUUUGAGGUUAAAUGAGUGAAGAGAUAAAAUACUCUUAGAGCAGUACCCGACCCACAAUAAAUGCUCUAUAAAAGUUAGACAUUUUUUAGAAUCUACUUUAUGUCUCUACCCAAUAGUUCUACUAUUUGAUCUUCUUGAGAACUUAACUCUGCUGAUUAUGUCUUAUGGAUCCACUCAUGACAUUUUGCUUUCUUGGUGUCUUUUUAAGCUCACAUGUGCAGCAUAUGGAGGUUCCCAGGCUAGGGGUCAAAUCAGAGCUCUAGCUGCUGUCCUACACCACAGCAACGCUGGAUCCAAACCACAUCUGCAACCUACAUCACAGUUCAUGGCAACUCUGUAUCCUUACCCCACGGAGUGAGGCCAGGGAUCGAACCUGCAACCUCGUGGAUACUAGUUAGGUUUGUUUGUUAACCGCUGAGCCACGAUGGGAACUCUGAAUCCUGUAUAUCUUGGCUUCAGCCAUCAGAGCACUAUAGACUCAAAGAUAUCAGGGUGUUCCUGGCCCAGAAUUUCAGGAAUAUCACUGGCAUGUGGCUAUUAGGAAUAUUAGGAGUAUCGUAGCCAGCAUUUCCCUGGCUCAGGAAACCUUUUUCUGUUCACUUACUGACUGGAGGUCUGUGGGCCAUUUGGAUGGUCUGAGUAACAAGCCUGUGGCCACAUGUUCUCAAGGGAGAUGUUUUCUUCCCCACGUAUAGCUGUGGCCUAGAAAGAUAAGCAUUCCUGGGAGCUCUUGUGCUCAAGGUAGAAUUUCCCCACCUGCUCUACUCUCGCUGAGGGACUAGCUCUUCAGGGGCCCUGGCUUAUGUGAUGGUCUCACCUCCAGGGCCCGGGCUCUCUGCAUAGAAUUAAAUCCCAUCACGCUAAUUUGCAGAGAACGGCACAGCCUUUCCAGAGCCUCAUCCUCCAGGCAGAUUUCCCAGGAGGGCAAGCCCAUGAUGCUUGUGACGUCAGCCCUUCUUGGAGAAGAUGCUUUUAAGUGCUUUAAUCCAGCCAUGCAGAAGUUGUCCCAUCCGCCAUCAUGGGGGAAACAGAAGUCUUCUGUGGUCUAUUUCACAGCCUCAGGAAUAUUUAUUUUUGUGUGUGUUUGUUUUGGUGGUGUGCUUUUUAGGGCCACACUUUCGGCCUGUGGAAGUUCCCAGGCUAUGGGUCAAAUCAAAGCUGCAGCUGCCGGCCUACACACAGCCACACCAAAGCAGGAUCUGAACCAUGUCUGUGACCUACACCAAAGCUCACAGCAAAGUUGGAUCCUUCAGCCAUUGAGCCAGGUCAGGGAUUGAACCCAUAUCCUCAUGGAUUCUAGUGGGGUUCGUUUCCACUGAGCCACCACGGGAACUCAGGAGUAUUUGUUGAAUGGACAGACUGGGUGACUGGACACCUAAGAGCCCAGGCCGCUCGUUCAGAGCCUUGACCACCACUGGGCCUGCAUCUCCAGCUGCUCAGGAGUCUGGUCCUAAGACAGGAGACCACGCCUGAAAGGAGAACGAUAGGGAAUCAGUUGGAGGCUCUGAUAUUCUCCCUGAGGUCAGUUAACAGAGGCUUCUUGUUCAGCCUGAUGCUCUCCAGGCCCCGAGCACAGCAGUAACUAAGGCGGCCACUGCCUUCCAGGGUGCUGCCUCCCUCUUCUGCAAAACGCGUCCUUACAGAGCUGCUGCAAGGAAAAAUAAUGAGCUUUGAUAACAGCGAUCAUCCAUCUAGAGCGUCUCGUGUGCCAAGCCCUGCUUUCAGUGUUCACCCGUGUUAACUCAGUUCGUCCUCACGGCCACCAUAGAUACACACGGUUACCACCCCUGUGUCGCAGCUGGGAGAAUGCGGCAUGGCACUGUCACCCAGCCAGAGAGUGGGGAGCCAGAUUUGAACCCAGGCCGUCUAGAUCCAAACGCAGGCUGUGAAGCCCACACUGUGCUGCCUCCCGGGCUGCGGAAGGAUAUUUGCAUGAUCUCUGGCCCAUAAGCCUGAGGACGCGACACUGGCCGUUAGCAGUAUUGUUCCUGAGGUCUUUAUUGUCAUUAUAGUAUUACGAUUACUGCUAGUGCUUUUGCUAUUAUUUGCAGUACAUUCUGUUCCCCGGCCCUGGGAUCUCUAGCCCAGGAGCCCCAGAGCCACAUACGGAAGGACGGCUUGCUUCUCGCAGCCUGGCUGCAGAAGUGACUCGUGAGAUGACGAUGAGGCUGGAGCUGGGGAGGCAGGGUAGCCGAGGUGGGGCAGGGGAUUCGAAGCGAAGGCAGUGAGGAGGAAUGUGCCGGGGGUCGGUGUGGCUCGGAUGAGGAUUCACGGAGAAGCAGCAGGACGCAGAGAAAAGGCUGAUUGGGCCAGAGGACAGAGGCCGACCAAGGCGCAAGUGAGGCUCCUGCAAGAGAGGAAGAGCUGUGAUAUGAAAGUUCUCGUGCAGGGGCGUGGCAACCGACUUUUCUUUCUUUCUUUGUUGAGCUCAAUUCUGUGUUGAAUUUUCCCAUAAAAAAAAAACUUGCAGUAGUUCCCAUCGUAGCUCAGUGGUUAACGAACCCGACUAGGAACCCCGAGGUUUCGGGUUCGAUCCCUGGCCUCGCACAAUGCGUUAAGGAUCGGGUGUUACGGUGAGCUGUGGUGUAGAUCGCAGAUGCGGCUCGGAUCUGGCGUGGCUGUGGCUGUGGUGUAGGCCGGCAGCUACAGCUCUGAUGCAACCCCUAGCCUGGGAACCUCCAUAUGCCAAGGGUGUGGCCCUAG
rnacentral:lncRNA from 1 species